AAUCAACGCUGGCGGCGUGCCUCAGACAUGCAAGUCGAACGAUUAAGACUUCCUUCGGGAAGUGUAUAAAGUGGCGCACGGGUGAGUAACACGUAAGUAAUCUACCUUCGAGUGGGGAAUAACAUCGGGAAACCGAUGCUAAUACCGCAUAAUGCAACGGCAUCGCAAGAUGACAGUUGUUAAAGGAGCAAUUCGCUUGAAGAGGAGCUUGCGGCAGAUUAGCUAGUUGGUAAGGUAAUGGCUUACCAAGGCUAUGAUCCGUAUCCGGUCUAAGAGGACGGUCGGACACACUGACACUGAAUAACGGGUCAGACUCCUACGGGAGGCAGCAGUCGGGAAUUUUGGGCAAUGGGCGAAAGCCUGACCCAGCAACGCCGCGUGAGGGAUGAAGUAUUUCGGUAUGUAAACCUCGAAAGAAUGGGAAGAAUAAAUGACGGUACCAUUUAUAAGCUCCGGCUAACUACGUGCCAGCCGCCGCAGUAAAAC
rnacentral:rRNA from 1 species